rnacentral:rRNA from 1 species
AUUAUUGGAAAUGAAAUGUUAUUCGUUUAUAAAGAUAUCUAGUUUUUUUAGAAAUAAAUUUAAUUUAAAAGUUUUUAAUUUUAUUGAUUAAUUAAAUUAAUUAAUAAAUUUUUAAAUUUUAAUAUUUUAAGGGAUAAGCUUUAAAAUAAAUUUUUAUAAAUUAAUAAAUGAUAAUUAAAAUUAUAUGCAUAGAAUUAGUAAUUAUUAAAAAUUUUGUUAUAAAUUAUUUUUUAAAAUAUAUUAUUUAUUAUAAUUUUAAAUUUUUUAUAGAAAUAUUUUUUUUAAUUUUAUUUAAAAAGUAAUAAUGAUAAAAUUAGUAUAUUUAUAUUAUGUAAAUAUAAUUUAUUUUGAUAAGUUUAUAUAAAGAACUCGGCAAAUAUUUUACUCGCCUGUUUAACAAAAACAUGUCUUUUUGUGUUAUUUUUAAAGUCUAACCUGCCCAAUGAAUUAAUUAAAUGGCCGCAGUAUUUUGACUGUGCAAAGGUAGCAUAAUCAUUAGUCUUUUAAUUGAAGGCUUGAAUGAAUGGUUGGACGAAGUAUAAUCUGUUUCAUUUAAAUUUAUUAUAGAAUUUUAUAUUUUAGUAAAAAAGCUAAAAUAUUUUUAAAAGACGAGAAGACCCUAUAAAUCUUUAUAAUUUAUAUUAUUUUUAUUUUUUAUAUUUAUUUUAUUUAAAUAAUUUGAAUUAUUUUGUUGGGGUGAUAUUAAAAUUUAAUAAACUUUUAAUUUAAUUAUUUCAUUAAUUUAUGUUUUAUUGAUCCAUUAAUAAUGAUUAAAAGAAUAAGUUACUUUAGGGAUAACAGCGUAAUUUUUUUGGAGAGUUCUUAUUGAUAAAAAAGUUUGCGACCUCGAUGUUGGAUUAAGAUAUAAGUUUAGGUGUA